CCUACGGGGGGCUGCAGUGGGGAAUAUUGGACAAUGGGGGCAACCCUGAUCCAGCCAUGCCGCGUGUGUGAAGAAGGCCCUCGGGUUGUAAAGCACUUUCAGUGAGGAAGAACGCCUGGUGGUUAAUACCCAUCAGGAAAGACAUCACUCACAGAAGAAGCACCGGCUAACUCCGUGCCAGCAGCCGCGGUAAUACGGAGGGUGCGAGCGUUAAUCGGAAUUACUGGGCGUAAAGCGCGCGUAGGUGGCUUGAUAAGCCGGUUGUGAAAGCCCCGGGCUCAACCUGGGAACGGCAUCCGGAACUGUCAAGCUAGAGUGCAGGAGAGGAGGGUAGAAUUCCCGGUGUAGCGGUGAAAUGCGUAGAGAUCGGGAGGAAUACCAGUGGCGAAGGCGGCCUUCUGGACUGACACUGACACUGAGGUGCGAAAGCGUGGGUAGCAAACAGGAUUAGAUACCCGAGUAGUC
rnacentral:rRNA from 1 species